GACCCUCAAAGCGCUUUACAUUGGAUACAUCAUUCAUUCGCUCACACAGUCACACUUUGGUGGUGGUGGAAACGUGGCUGCCAUUCUGCGCCUACGGCCUCUCCGACCACCACCACACGACACUCACAAUCAUACACCAGUGGAGGACACACACUGGGAGCAAGGUGGGUUAAGUGUCUUGCCCAAGGACACAACGGACAGACUUGGAUUAGGGGGGAAUCGAACCGCCAACCUUCCGGUCAUUGGACGACCGCUCUACCUCCUGAGCUACUGC
rnacentral:lncRNA from 1 species